CGAAGAUUGCUCACUACAGGGGUAGGGACUUGGGGGGAGGAGGAUGUACCAGACUCAUUCCUCUUCACCCUGGGAAUGACCAGUAGAUGAACUGCCUGGAUUUUGACUGCAUUCAGAAAUUUCUGACCACAGGACUCAUGGACCACCUUUUGAAGUUCUGGGGAUAAUAAGAAACAUCUGAAUGGCUUAUUCUAGCCCUGUGAGCUGACCUCCAGAGCUAACUUGGUAGCCCCACCCUUCGGGUGGGGAAAAGCCCAAGAACUCUUAGGAGUGAAGCCUUUCCCGCUCUCUUGCUGCUCCUCCUAAAUGUUUCCUCUGCAGCUGCAUAGGCUGGCAGGCAGCCUGAGAUGGAGCCCUACUCAGAAGAUCCCCACCUCUGCUGGGUUGCCCGGCUCCUGGGACUCACCAGCCUCCUCCUCAGCAUCUGCAGCACAGUGGUCCAGAGUUCUGGAAAAUAUGGUUCUGAAGUUCAGAAUUCUAGAUUUGUUCCCAUGCAGGGGAUCCAAGGAGGUUCUGUGUUGUUUCAUAUAGUCAAGAAGCAAGAAGCUGACCCAGAGGAGGUCUCAUGGGGCUUUGGCCCUGAGUUAAACUACAGAGUCCUGCUGCGAGUCCACCGUGGGGCAGACACCCCAACCUGGGUCAGCCUCCAGGACAAGUACCAGCAGAGGGUCCAAGUGCCCAAUGUGACAUCCUUGAAGAUUGAGAACCUGACCCCAGAGGACAGUGGGCAGUACCGGGCUCGAGCCAGCUUCACUGGAGGAAUGGAAUUGAACCAGGUUUUCCUCCUCACUGUCUAUGAGCCUGUGAUCCUUCCUGAGAUCCUGGUCAAGUCAUCAUCAAUCACACCAGGCUUGUGCAAUGUCACCCUGGAGUGCAGGGACCCAGGGAAGAGAAAGGACCUGAAGGUGACCUGGGAGAGCGAGGGCCUUCCCAGGGAGCUGGAGUGGAGUGGGACACCAGGACCAGCCCCCAGCUCCUGGAGCCUGACUGUGAACCUGUCUCUGAGCCAGCCCAAUGCCAGCCUCACCUGUGUGGUCAGCAACCAUGCAGACAAGAAAACUGCCACUGUAGACUUUGCACAAGUCUGUUUCCCUGGUUCACAAGAGCAGACCAUUGCUGGUCUUCUUGAAGGCAUCCUCUGUGGCGUCGUGGCUGUGCUAUUCUUCCUGGGAGCUGGACUGUACUUUUGGAAGACAUAUAAGAAGGAAAGGAACACAGAGACUGAAAGAGGAGCAGCAUCGCAGGAGGACCACAGGAACCAAGAUGAUGGCGAUUGGGCAGAGCAGAGCCAAGAAGAGUAUCAACAAGGCAUGUACCAGAGUAUCAGUGCACAACGUAUGGAACAAGAGUUGCCUCUCAACACUGUCUACUUUGCACAACAUCUGGAACAAGAGUUGCCUCUCAACACUGUCUACUAGUUGCCUCUCAGCACUGUCUACUCUGCGAUCCAGAACAUACCUGUGAGGGUAUGAAGAUAAUAUAAUUGGAGGAAACAGAGGAAUCUUGGGACACCUCCACUCUGAUGCUGACAUCCUUCAGAUACCUGCUUGAAUUCUGGUUCAGCUCUGGCUGCUCCUUGUCUUUUACUCUGACCUUUGUGAUCUCAGCUCAACAAGAGAUUGAGCUGGAAUUUCAGAGCCUAUAAUGGACCAAGUUUUAUCCUGGGCACUCUACAAAUAUUAUCUCUUCUAAUUUUCACGAGGAACCUCUAGGGUAGGUAUCAUGUUCUGUAUUUUAUAGGACAGUAAAUAUUAUUCCCAAGCUGUUGGUGGCAGAUGAAAACCUUAAAUUCAACGCUGAGUGAAUCCAGAUUUCACAUAUUACUCUUUCUGUACAUGGGCACUGAAUCCUGAAAUAUUGGAUGGGAAUAUCCUUCCUUUGUUCCUCUCCCAAAGACCUAGCCUCUGAUGCUGGUGCUGAAAUAUGGACUGAGUUCAUUGGUAAAUCAUCUGGUGGCUAAAGAGGUAUUACCCCUUAAGUGGACAAUGGGGACUUGGUGCACGGGAGGCCUGGAAAGAGGGAUCUUGACUUCAGUUUAGAGGAAACAUUCUGAGAGGAAUGCUUCUCACUCUUGGGUCUUGUAAGAGUUCUUCCUCUCUUUACAAGGUGUAUUGUGGAUUUCAGCAGCACAGUCUUCAAACCAGCUCCACUUACAUUGUUAUUCAAAAGUUCACUCAAUAGAUUUUACAUAAGUUUUUCAUUUAAACAUUCAAUGAUUCUGUGAGGCAGAAAUUUCCACUGCACAGGUGGAAAACUAAAACUUGCAGAUUUUAAACACCACAUUUAAGCAUAUCAAGUAAAGUGAUAUGCUUGAUUUGGGUUUACAGAGGAUCACAAUUUCACUAAUUUUGACUCUUUUUAUCCUCCAUUAUUCCAGACACCCAACCAAUCAUUAUCUUCCAUUGGGUUAUCCUUCAAGAUGAUUUUUGUAGUCCACCCUCCUCUCGUUCUUUUAUUCUUAUUUUCUACCUAUAGAAAUAUUCUACCUGAAGUUUCACCAUUUUCACCUUUCCACCAGCAAUAUAGGAGGAUUCCUGCACAUAACUCUUAUAAUUUUUUUGAUUAUAACCUUCCUAGUAUGUGUGUGAUGUAGUAUCUCACUGUCAUUUUGAAUUGCAUUUAACUAAUAAUUAAUGAAAUUAGAAUAUGAUUGCUUCUUGGCAGGGAAACUAUGAAAACCUAGACUGUGUUAAAAAGCAAAGAUGUCAUGAUGGUGACACAGGUCCAUAUAAUCAAGGCUAUGGUAUUUCAAGUAGUCGUACAGUUGUGAGAGCUGGGCAAUAGAGAAGGCUGAGUGCCAAAGAAAUGAUGCUUUCAAACUGUGGUGGUGUAGAAGACUCUUGAGAAUCCCAUGGAAAGCAGGGAGAGCAAACCAGUCAAUCUUAAUGGAAACCUGGAAUACUCAUUGGAAUGCUUGAUGCUGAAACUGAAGCUCCAAUAGUUUGGCUACCUGAUGUGAACAUCUGACUCAUUGGAAAAGACCCUGAUUCUGGGAAUUGAAGGCAGAAGGAGAAGAGGGCAACAGAGGAUGAGAUGGUUGGAUGGCAUCACUGCUUCAAUGGACAUGAACUUGGGCAAACCUGGGAGUUGGUGAGGGACAAGGAAGCCUGGUGUGCUGCAGUCCAUGGUGCUGCAAACAGUUGGAUACGUCUUGAUGACUGAACAAAAACAGUGAUGAUGAAAAAGGUUGAAUGUUUUUUCAUGUGUAUUAACUAUUUGUAUACCUUAUUUGAAUUAAUCCAUCUCUCCCUCUAAGUCUCUCUCCUCAUGCUUUGUUUCCACCAUACCAAUAGAACUGCUUUUGUUCAAGUCACUAGGAAACCUCAUGUCAUUAAAUCUAAUAGACAGUCUGUUUCAUCUCCCUUGAAGCUCAGCAGCAGUGGCGCUGUCCUUGCUUGAAUCCCUGCAUCACUUUGUAUUCAACAAUCACAAUUCUUCCUCUCACACUCAGUGGUAGCUUCCUUGUUGCUUUGACUAGUUUCUUUCUUAUCUCUUCAAUCUCACAAUUCUGAAAUAUCCCAGGGAUCAGACACAGACCAUCCACAUCACCUUUCUUCACUAUCUACACUCAUUACUUUCUGGUGUUAUGCUUCUGCUGCCGCUAAAUCGCUUCAGUCGUGUCCGACUCUGUGCAACCCCAUAGACGGCAGCCCACCAGGCUCCCCCGUCCCUGGGAUUCUCCAGGCAAGAACACUGGAGUGGGUUGCCAUUUCCUUCUCCAAUGCAUGAAAGUGAAAAGUGAAAGUGAAGUUGCUUAGUCGUGUCCGACUCUUUGUGACCCCAUGGACUGCAGCCUACCAGGCUCCUCCAUCCAUGGGAUUUUCCAGGCAAGAGUACUGGAGUGGGGUGCCAUUGCCUUCUCUGUUCUGGUGUUAUGGCCAUGCACUAAUCCCCAAACCUGUGUCUAUGUAAGUUUAUGAGGGAAAAAUGUCUUACAGAUGUAAUCAAAGUUAAGGUCCUUGAGAUUGGGAGAUUACUCUGGAUUAUCUAGGUGGUCCUAUUUUAAUCAUGGAAGUUCACAAAAGUGGAAGAAUAAGAGGUAGAAAAGUGGAUCUGAGAGAUAUGAGGUGAGAAUUUGACAUACUACUGCUGUCUUUGAAGAUGGAGUAAGAGGACCAUAAGUCCAGCACAUGUGGGGGUCUGUCGAAGCUAGGAAAGCUUACAACUAGGUGAACGUGAAGACUUCAGUCUUACAACUGCCAAGAAUGGAAUUCAGGUCAUAACAAGAACCAGCAGAAAAUGAAUUCUCCUACUGAGACUCUAGAAAGGAUCAUAGCUUAUGAAUACCUCAAUUCAAUAUCAGUGAGAUUCACACCAGAUUUCUGAUUUUCAGAGCUGUGAGAUAAUAAUUUUGUGUUGAGCAACUAUAUUUGUAGUGAUUUCUAUGGAAGCAAUAGAAAACCAAUAUAGAUAUCAUCUGAUGAUUUUAAAUACUUGACUGCUCCAAAAAUUCUGGUCUGGAUUUCUCCAAAGGAGUCCACAUUGUAAAUAUCCAACUGUUUACUUGACAUCUCCACUUCGAUGUAUAAUAGAUAUCUCAAACUUUACAUGUCUAUGUUUAAGCUUCCUAACCAUGUUCUUAUACAGUUUUCCAAUCCCAAUAAAUGCUACCUUCAUACUCA
ensembl:lncRNA